rnacentral:rRNA from 1 species
AAUAGAUACCCCGGUAGUCCACGCUGUAAACGAUGCGGACUAGGUGUCGGGGGUAUCGACCCCCUCGGUGCCGCAGCUAACGCGCUAAGUCCGCCGCCUGGGGACUACGGCCGCAAGGCUAAAAACUCAAAGGAAUUGACGGGGGCCCGCACAAGCAGCGGAGCGUGUGGUUUAAUUCGACGCAACGCGAANGAACCUUACCUGGGCUUGACAUGCACGUGGUAAAAGUCGGAAACGGCGAUGGCCCGCAAGGGAGCGUGCGCAGAUGCUGCAUGGCUGUCGUCAGCUCGUGCCGUGAGGUGUUGGGUUAAGUCCCGCAACGAGCGCAACCCUCGCUGCCAGUUACCAUGUCUGGCGGGACCGCCGGGUCCAACCCGGAGGAAGGUGGGGAUGACGUCAAGUCAGCACGGCUCUUACGUCCAGGGCUACACACACGCUACAAUGGCCGGUACAACGCGCAGCAAUGGGGCGACCCGGAGCGAAGUCGCACCAAAGCCGGUCUCAGUUCGGAUCGUGGCCGCAACCCGCCACGUGAAGCCGG